AGAGUUUGAUCAUGGCUCAGAUUGAACGCUGGCGGCAGGCCUAACACAUGCAAGUCGAGCGGUAGCACAGAAGAGCUUGCUCUUCGGGUGACGAGCGGCGGACGGGUGAGUAAUGUCUGGGAAACUGCCUGAUGGAGGGGGAUAACUACUGGAAACGGUAGCUAAUACCGCAUAACGUCUUCGGACCAAAGAGGGGGACCUUCGGGCCUCUUGCCAUCGGAUGUGCCCAGAUGGGAUUAGCUAGUAGGUGAGGUAAUGGCUCACCUAGGCGACGAUCCCUAGCUGGUCUGAGAGGAUGACCAGCCACACUGGAACUGAGACACGGUCCAGACUCCUACGGGAGGCAGCAGUGGGGAAUAUUGCACAAUGGGCGCAAGCCUGAUGCAGCCAUGCCGCGUGUGUGAAGAAGGCCUUCGGGUUGUAAAGCACUUUCAGCGGGGAGGAAGGCGAUAAGGUUAAUAACCUUGUCGAUUGACGUUACCCGCAGAAGAAGCACCGGCUAACUCCGUGCCAGCAGCCGCGGUAAUACGGAGGGUGCAAGCGUUAAUCGGAAUGACUGGGCGUAAAGCGCACGCAGGCGGUCUGUUAAGUUGGAUGUGAAAUCCCCGGGCUUAACCUGGGAACUGCAUUCAAAACUGACAGGCUAGAGUCUUGUAGAGGGGGGUAGAAUUCCAGGUGUAGCGGUGAAAUGCGUAGAGAUCUGGAGGAAUACCGGUGGCGAAGGCGGCCCCCUGGACAAAGACUGACGCUCAGGUGCGAAAGCGUGGGGAGCAAACAGGAUUAGAUACCCUGGUAGUCCACGCUGUAAACGAUGUCGACUUGGAGGUUGUGCCCUUGAGGCGUGGCUUCCGGAGCUAACGCGUUAAGUCGACCGCCUGGGGAGUACGGCCGCAAGGUUAAAACUCAAAUGAAUUGACGGGGGCCCGCACAAGCGGUGGAGCAUGUGGUUUAAUUCGAUGCAACGCGAAGAACCUUACCUACUCUUGACAUCCACAGAAUUUGGUAGAGAUACCUUAGUGCCUUCGGGAACUGUGAGACAGGUGCUGCAUGGCUGUCGUCAGCUCGUGUUGUGAAAUGUUGGGUUAAGUCCCGCAACGAGCGCAACCCUUAUCCUUUGUUGCCAGCACGUAAUGGUGGGAACUCAAAGGAGACUGCCGGUGAUAAACCGGAGGAAGGUGGGGAUGACGUCAAGUCAUCAUGGCCCUUACGAGUAGGGCUACACACGUGCUACAAUGGCGUAUACAAAGAGAAGCGAACUCGCGAGAGCAAGCGGACCUCAUAAAGUACGUCGUAGUCCGGAUUGGAGUCUGCAACUCGAUUCCAUGAAGUCGGAAUCGCUAGUAAUCGUAGAUCAGAAUGCUACGGUGAAUACGUUCCCGGGCCUUGUACACACCGCCCGUCACACCAUGGGAGUGGGUUGCAAAAGAAGUAGGUAGCUUAACCUUCGGGAGGGCGCUUACCACUUUGUGAUUCAUGACUGGGGUGAAGUCGUAACAAGGUAACCGUAGGGGAACCUGCGGUUGGAUCACCU
rnacentral:rRNA from 1 species